AUUGAACGCUGGCGGCAGGCCUAACACAUGCCAGUCGAGCGGAUGAAGGGAGCUUGCUCCUGGAUUCAGCGGCGGACGGGUGAGUAAUGCCUAGGAAUCUGCCUGGUAGUGGGGGAUAACGUCCGGAAACGGGCGCUAAUACCGCAUACGUCCUGAGGGAGAAAGUGGGGGAUCUUCGGACCUCACGCUAUCAGAUGAGCCUAGGUCGGAUUAGCUAGUUGGUGGGGUAAAGGCCUACCAAGGCGACGAUCCGUAACUGGUCUGAGAGGAUGAUCAGUCACACUGGAACUGAGACACGGUCCAGACGCCUACGGGAGGCAGCAGUGGGGAAUGUUGGACAAUGGGCGAAAGCCUGAUCCAGCCAUGCCGCGUGUGUGAAGAAGGUCUUCGGAGUGUAAAGCACUUUAAGUUGGGAGGAAGGGCAGUAAGUUAAUACCUUGCUGUUUUGACGGUACCAACAGAAUAAGCACCGGCUAACUUCGUG
rnacentral:rRNA from 1 species